rnacentral:lncRNA from 1 species
ACUUGAGGGAGGAAAGUGCAGGACACUGAGGGGACCUGUGUCUUGUGUUUCAGAUGGCUGGAGUACAGUGGCACGAUCUCGGCUCACUGAAGCCUCUACCUACUGGGCUCAAGCGAUCCUCCCACCUCAGCCUCGCACAUAGCUGGGACUACAGUAUAGAAUGUUUUUCCCAUGAUGUUCCCUUUCCAAUGUCUUUCUGGAAGUCACACAUUGACCACUAACAACAGGAGAGAGGACAAAGAAAGGCAGCAAGAGACUAUUUCCAAUGCAAAAUAUGAUCAGUUCCUGCUUCCUGGUUGUUGUGAGGAUUCAAUCUAAUAACAUAUAUUAGAAUGUUCCUGAACCUCUAAAAGACUUAAAAAAUCUUGACAGGCUUACUGUUAUUCUAAUAAAUGUUCCAAAUAAUAGAA